rnacentral:rRNA from 1 species
UACGUAUGGUGCAAGCGUUAUCCGGAUUUACUGGGUGUAAAGGGAGCGUAGGCGGGCUUUUAAGUCAGCGGUAAAAAUUCGGGGCUCAACCCCGUCCGGCCGUUGAAACUGGGGGCCUUGAGUGGGCGAGAAGAGGGCGGAAUGCGUGGUGUAGCGGUGAAAUGCAUAGAUAUCACGCAGAACCCUGAUUGCGAAGGCAGCCUUCCGGCGCCCUACUGACGCUGAGGCACGAAAGUGCGGGGAUCGAACAGG